AGUCAGCCCAGCUUGAAUUGUCUCAAGAAAUAUGACUUUCAUCCGUUUGGAGACUGUUCCAUUAUCAUGGCUUUUGUCACUAGGAAAUUCUAUCUGAAAGUCCGUUCACUGUUGCCAGAGCUGAGCCUGCAGAGGUUCCAGUGAUUCCAUGGGUUCUGCAGAUAGGUGCAGUAUUGUUCUAGGUCCUCAUCAAACUCUUUCUGGGGGUAAAACUCGAUCCCAUUCACCUCCAGUUCUUUGCGCACCUGGGCAGGGAAACAUUGGAAAGUAAAAAGCAGUGCAAGCAUUGAAUUAUGGCAGAUA